UCCGGUUUGACACCGGCAGUCUCCCUAGAGUGCCCGGCAUAACCCGCUGGUAACUAGGGACGAGGGUUGCGCUCGUUGCGGGACUUAACCAAACAUCUCACGACACGAGCUGACGACGGCCAUGCAACACCUGUCAUUGGGUUCCCGAAGGCACUCUCGACUUUCGUCAAAAUUCCCAAGAAGUCAAGCCUUGGUAAGGUUCUUCGCUUACCAUCGAAUUAAACAACACGCUCCACUGCUUGUGCGGCUCCCCGUCAAUUCCUUUGAGUUUUAGUCUUGCGACCGUACUCCCCAGGCGGAAUACUUAACGCGUUAGCUUCGCUACAUACCGGGUCGAUACGGCAUACAGCUAGUAUUCAUCGUUUACGGCGUGGACUAC
rnacentral:misc_RNA from 1 species